rnacentral:lncRNA from 12 species
AUGGAACGUUGUAAAUGCCUGUCAGAAAUAAAAUACUGGGAAAAAAAAAAACAAAACUGUGGAGAGUGGUGUGUGGAGGCCACAUGUCCCGUGGAGGCUGUGAGAGCAGGGCUGGGAGGUGGGGAGGGUGGACCAGCGAGGAGCUCCUGCAUUCCCAGCUGCUGCAGCUCAGGCAGGAGCCCUCAGGUAAGGCUCUGCUCGUGUCUCGCUGAGGGGACAAUUCCCAUUUCCCUUAUGGCAUCCGUAACCAGCCACUCCUGCUGCUUUUCCAGGCUGGUCACAAGGAGCCCUCACGUGAGUGUUCGGAAAAACAAGAUAAAAAGCAGAAAAUUCCAGGAUUCCAGGUGCACUGGAAGAGCUCCCCAGUCCCUCCACGGCCAGGUCUUUGAAAAACAAGAUAAAAAGCAGCAAAUUCCAGGAUUCCAGGUGCACUGGAAGAGCUCCCCAGUCCCUCCACGGCCAGGUCUUUGGCAGGAUUGCUUUGGGCUUGUAAGGCUACCAGGCCAAUCCAGACUCCUCAGAAGUUGGGGAAAUGGUGAAAAGAGGAGUGAGGGCCUCCAGAGGCAAGCAGCAUGAGUGGUGACAAGUGACACGCGUAUGCCAGCUCCACAGCUGAAAUGCUUUGGCUUUAAAGCUCCCUGCUGCCACCAGCCACAAACAGAGGACGGCAGAGGGAAAAUUCUCCUGCAAUUGCCUGUGCAGUUUGGAGAGGUGAGCACCAAUACCUUGGUUUUGUGCCAGGACAGAUCCCCUGUGCCAGAUCCCCAGCUCACAGGGGGCAGUUAAUUAACC